GACGAUCGCUGGCGGCGUGCUUAACACAUGCAAGUCGAACGGUGAAGCUCCAGCUUGCUGGAGUGGAUCAGUGGCGAACGGGUGAGUAACACGUGAGCAACCUGCCCCUGACUCUGGAAUAAGCGCUGGAAACGGCGUCUAAUACUGGAUACGAGAAGGGUCCGCAUGGGCACUUUCUGGAAAGUUUUUCGGUUGGGGAUGGGCUCGCGGCCUAUCAGCUUGUUGGUGAGGUAAUGGCUCACCAAGGCGACGACGGGUAGCCGGCCUGAGAGGGCGACCGGCCACACUGGGACUGAGACACGGCCCAGACUCCUACGGGAGGCAGCAGUGGGGAAUAUUGCACAAUGGGCGAAAGCCUGAUGCAGCGACGCCGCGUGAGGGAUGACGGCCUUCGGGUUGUAAACCUCUUUCAGCAGGGAAGAAGCGAAAGUGACGGUACCUGCAGAAGAAGCACCGGCUAACUACGUG
rnacentral:rRNA from 1 species